rnacentral:rRNA from 1 species
CGUAGGGUGCGAGCGUUAAUCGGAAUUACUGGGCGUAAAGCGUGCGCAGGCGGUUUUGUAAGUCAGAUGUGAAAUCCCCGGGCUCAACCUGGGAAAUGCAUUUGAGACUGCAAAGCUAGAGUGUGGCAGAGGGGGGUGGAAUUCCACGUGUAGCAGUGAAAUGCGUAGAGAUGUGGAGGAACACCGAUGGCGAAGGCAAUCCCCUGGACCUGUACUGACGCUCAUGCACGAAAGCGUGGGGAGCAAACAGG